CCUACGGGGGGCAGCAGUGGGGAAUAUUGACAAUGGGCGAAAGCCUGAUCCAGCCAUGCCGCGUGUGUGAAGAAGGCCUUCGGGUUGUAAAGCACUUUCAGUGGGGAAGAAAGCCUUGGGGCUAAUACCCUCGAGGAAGGACAUCACCCACAGAAGAAGCACCGGCUAACUCCGUGCCAGCAGCCGCGGUAAUACGGAGGGUGCGAGCGUUAAUCGGAAUUACUGGGCGUAAAGCGCGCGUAGGCGGUCUGAUAAGCCGGUUGUGAAAGCCCCGGGCUCAACCUGGGAACGGCAUCCGGAACUGUCAGGCUAGAGUGCAGGAGAGGAAGGUAGAAUUCCCGGUGUAGCGGUGAAAUGCGUAGAGAUCGGGAGGAAUACCAGUGGCGAAGGCGGCCUUCUGGACUGACACUGACGCUGAGGUGCGAAAGCGUGGGUAGCAAACAGGAUUAGAUACCCGGGUAGUC
rnacentral:rRNA from 1 species